UUAAGCCAUGCGAGUCGAGAGGGUUCAGACCCUCGGCGGACUGCUCAGUAACACGUGGAUAACCUGCCCUAUGGUGGAGGAUAACCCCGGGAAACUGGGGAUAAUACUCCAUAGAUUAGAGAAACUGGAAUGUUCUUUAAUCGAAAGUUCCGGCGCCAUAGGAUGGAUCUGCGGCCGAUUAGGUAGUUGUUGGGGUAACGGCCCAACAAGCCUGUAAUCGGUACGGGUUGUGGGAGCAAGAUCCCGGAGAUGGAUUCUGAGACAUGAAUCCAGGCCCUACGGGGCGCAGCAGGCGCGCAAACUUUACAAUGCGAGCAAUCGUGAUAAGGAAACCCUGAGUGCCUGUCGAUGCAGGCUGUUCAUAUAUCUAAAUCAUAUGUGAAGAAAGGGCAGGGCAAGACCGGUGCCAGCCGCCGCGGUAAUACCGGCUGCUCGAGUGAUGGCCACUAUUACUGGGUUUAAAGCGUCCGUAGCUUGACUGUUAGGUCUCUUGGGAAAUCUUCACGCUCAACGUGAAGGCGUCUAAGAGAUACCGGCAGUCUUGGAACUGGGAGAGGUAAACCGUACUUCGGGGGUAGGAGUGAAAUCUUGUAAUCCUCGAGGGACGACCUAUGGCGAAGGCAGUUUACCAGAACAGCUUCGACAGUGAGGGACGAAAGCUGGGGGAGCAAACGGGAUUAGAUACCCCGGUAGUCCCAGC
rnacentral:rRNA from 1 species